UAUUCUGUAGCAAGGUUAACCGAAUAGGGGAGCCGAAGGGAAACCGAGUCUUAACUGGGCGUUAAGUUGCAGGGUAUAGACCCGAAACCCGGUGAUCUAGCCAUGGGCAGGUUGAAGGUUGGGUAACACUAACUGGAGGACCGAACCGACUAAUGUUGAAAAAUUAGCGGAUGACUUGUGGCUGGGGGUGAAAGGCCAAUCAAACCGGGAGAUAGCUGGUUCUCCCCGAAAGCUAUUUAGGUAGCGCCUCGUGAAUUCAUCUCCGGGGGUAGAGCACUGUUUCGGCAAGGGGGUCAUCCCGACUUACCAACCCGAUGCAAACUGCGAAUACCGGAGAAUGUUAUCACGGGAGACACACGGCGGGUGCUAACGUCCGUCGUGAAGAGGGAAACAACCCAGACCGCCAGCUAAGGUCCCAAAGUCAUGGUUAAGUGGGAAACGAUGUGGGAAGGCCCAGACAGCCAGGAUGUUGGCUUAGAAGCAGCCAUCAUUUAAAGAAAGCGUAAUAGCUCACUGGUCGAGUCGGCCUGCGCGGAAGAUGUAACGGGGCUAAACCAUGCACCGAAGCUGCGGCAGCGACGCUGAUGCGUUGUUGGGUAGGGGAGCGUUCUGUAAGCCUGCGAAGGUGUGCUGUGAGGCAUGCUGGAGGUAUCAGAAGUGCGAAUGCUGACAUAAGUAACGAUAAAGCGGGUGAAAAGCCCGCUCGCCGGAAGACCAAGGGUUCCUGUCCAACGUUAAUCGGGGCAGGGUGAGUCGACCCCUA
rnacentral:rRNA from 1 species